rnacentral:rRNA from 1 species
AAAACUUUCAACAACGGAUCUCUUGGUUCUGGCAUCGAUGAAGAACGCAGCGAAAUGCGAAAAGUAAUGUGAAUUGCAGAAUUCAGUGAAUCAUCGAAUCUUUGAACGCACAUUGCGCCCUUUGGUAUUCCAAAGGGCAUGCCUGUUCGAGCGUCAUUG